ensembl:lncRNA
GGAGGAUAGCCAUAGGAAAACAACAGAGUCAGUCUCUUACACACACACACACACACACACACACACACACACAGAGGAGGGGGAGUGAGUGAAAGAGAGGACUAGUUUAUUCUUUUCUUGCUUCUUGUAUCUUUGAAACACUCCAAAAAAGACUUAGCAUAUCAAUUUUUUAAAAAUACAUUUGCUCACAAAAGACAUUUUUAUUUCUCUAUUAUCAACAUGAUACCACCUCUACUCCAGAAUAUUAUAACUUUUGUCCAUGAAAAUGAACUAGCCAUCGACACCCUUGAACUGAACCCAGCCACUGUCUCUCUCUUUGCUUUGCUUCUUUCCAAGGAAAACACAGCUAACCACAUUUAUCUGGCCGAGCAUUUGCCUAACACAUAAUUUUGUUUUUAAAAGACUGGGAGUCACGAGAUACCACUUGAGAAUUUAUUGUGUUCCUCAAUUAGGAUAAUAAUGGUUUUCUGUUAUUAGAAAGAACAAAUAAUUGGCUACACUAAGAGGCAUGAGCUUUAACCCCAUAUUUAACUCCAAAUCAGUUCCAGACAUAAAAUGUGACUUUUCCUUGGAGGUUUUUAGGAAGGAGAUGAAUAGAACAUUAUGUAAAAGACACAUUCUUGAAAAAUGUUCUGAAAAUAUAGUUUUAACCCAUAGUUUACUAUUAUUGAACUUAAAAUAAUAUGUUUUUCUAGAAAGUUGCAUUUAGCAUAAGUAUAAAAGAAACAGAAACAUACAUGGUACCUAUCCAACCCACCUGAGAAAAUUCAAAUCUCUGGUUAAGCCAUUACCCUGAUAACAGUCUAACUACUUUGUGAGUAUCACACAGGUUCAUUCUGCUCCCACCAUCAAACAGGUCCAGAAUGCUCACACCAUCACACAAGUCCAGGCUGCUCACACCAUCACACAGGUCCAUGCUGCUCACACCACCACACAGGUUCAUGCUGCUCACACCAUCAUUGUGCAUUCCUAGAGACUGCAGCAUUCAAGGCUGGAAUUUCAUGGCUUCUUCUGAUCAGUGUCUGGUCAAGUUAACAAGAGCUUGAGUUCUGAGAACUGUCAAUAUAAUACACAAAAGCUAUUGACUAAAUAUGUAGAACAGAUCAAAAUAAAAAGGUUUCUGAAAGACCAACAAAUUACAUGAAAAUUGAUCCAUUGCAACAGUCUACUUAAUUUGACAAAUAAUAAUUGUACCUCUUUACAAGGUAUACUGUGAUGUUUAGAAUUUUCAAAAAAAAAAUUCAACAUUAUACAUACAUUUUUCUCCUCUUUUCCUCUCACCAAACCCUCCCACAUACUCCCAAGUGAUGCCAUAGAUCUGUGAUGUUUUUGCCUCAGCCUUCUUUGAGAUUGGAUUAUAGAUAUAGCUCAAAAUAAUGAAUUCAACACCUUUGCACAUAUACUCAGGAGUGGGAGUGCUUUUGUUUCUUAGGAUACUUAAUAUCCCAUUUUCUUAAGGGGCUAUGUCAAUUUUUCACCCAAUUAAUGAUGCAUUGGAAAUUGUUUUUCUGUGCCAUUACUAAUAGAUGUUAUUGUGUUUCUAUUUCAUUUGUUUAUUUACAUGGGGUUUCAUCAUCUAACUCAGGCUGAUCUGUAGCUUUCACGGGCUGAUCUGGAACUUGCACAUAGCCCAGACUUCUCUCAAAUGUGUAAUUCUAUGGCUUCUACUUCAGUCUCACAAGUGUGUAGAUCACGAGUAUGUAACACUAUGCCUGACUCUCAUUUAUUUUUAAUAGCUAUUUCCACAAGUUUGUAGUGAGAUGUCUGAUACUGGCUAGGUGAAUAAGAACCUGAGAUUAGAUAGGUCAAGAGCCUAGGAGAAAGCCAAAUGUUACUGUUCUUCUAAGUGACCAUUGCAAUGUAAUGACUGCUAAUGAUAUACUUAUAGAUUGGUGUCUUGCUCAGUCAUCACCAGAAAUGCUUAAUCUUGUAGUACAUAGGAACAAAUACAGAGGCAUACAACUGGACAAUAUGCAAAGUGAGAGGCCCUGGAAUUUUUAGUACUAAAUGGGAUAUUCCAAUCAAACCCUUUCUCUCAGGGCUCACAGAACUCUUUAGAAAGGAGGCAGAAAAACUGUAAUAGACAGUGGGGGAUAGAAGAUACCAAGGGAUUAAGGCUUUAUAGAUACAACAGAAGUGACAUACAUAUGAACUCACAGAGACUGUAGCAGUAUGCAUAGAGAACAGCGCAGGCCUAAUCCAGAUGGAGUCUUAGCUCUGAGAUGGGAAGCAGAAACAGCUCUCAUCUCUAACCUUGAAGCUAUCUCCAACUGAUAACCACUCUGAAAGAAAAAGUUAGUUUUCUCCAACAGUAUCUUAUUGCAUAUACAAACCAAACUUAAGGGUAGGCCACAUGCCUAGAAGUACAUAACAGACAUUAGAUAAAGUCAAUGGUACUUGGGGAGGUUUUUGUUUUGUCUGGCCAUUUUUUUUUUAACCUUAGAGAUCUUUUGCUUAUGUACCAUAAUUCCCAAAUUUAUUUUUAUAUCUUUUUGUGCAUAUGAAUGCAAGUGUCUUAGCUUCUGUAUGUGUUCAUUAGGCUUUUUUUUCGGAUCUUUUAUUUUUCCUGUUUAUUUGUUUUAUCCUUUUCUGUUUUAUUUUUAUUUGAUUUGAUUAUGUUAAAUGCCUGUUUGGAUUUUAAUAAGAAAGAGAAAAAAUGAAGGUGUGUGGGAAGUGGGGAGGAUCUGGGGGAGCGGGAACAAGAAUCCAAAUAUAUUAUGUAAGAGAGAUCUAUUUUCAGUAAAACAUAAAGUAAAAUAAAAUGAAACUGAAAUAAUAUUUGAUUUGAUCCUAGUGAGGAAACUAAAACAGAAAAUCCAAUAAUACAAUAAAUUUCACUUUACAAAAAAAGAAUUUUAAAUAAAAUUUAGCAGGUUUUCACUUGGUAACCCAAUGAGGUAUGAAUGAAUACAUUUGCUAGCCAGCGAGUCUCUCUGCUAUUUAUUUUCUAUUUAAUUUAGAGAUUUAUUUUCUUAUGUGCAUAUGUAUAUAUGUAUGGCCAUCAAUCAGCAGGUGACUGGGCAGAGGUCACAGCACAUACACAAGUGAGAGAAAGUCAACUGGAAUGACAUAGGCUUUUGAAACCCCAAAGACCACUCCCAGUGGCACAUGUCCUCCAAUAAGGCAAUGUCUCUUAAUUUUUCCAAAACAGUUUCACCAUCUGGGAACAAAGCACUCAAACACAAGAGCCGAUGGGGCCAUUCUCUCAGCCUUUUACUGAAUUAUCUGUCUCUCCAGUCUUUUCUCUUUAACACUGAAUAUUAAUUUUCAUUGAAUCCCAGUGAACUUCCCCCCAAAUAUACUUAUCCCUCUAAAGUAAAAGCAUUUUUCUUUGCCUUGUAGGGACAGACAACUACUGUAGUGUAAGAAUUCUCCCCAUUGCAAUGGAAUUUUCAGAUAAAUUGUUUCUUGUUUAAGCGUAAGUUUGUUUCUGUUUUGCCAUGCCUCAUAUAAAUAAAUGUUAGUUGCAAGUAUGAAUUUAUUUAACCUGUUUAUUAAGUGAUUUGUAUGUUGCAAGUGCUAUGUUAAAUGAAGCAUGACAAAAUGUUGUCACUCAGUAAUUUGUAUAGUAUACUUCUGAUAUUUAUUUAAAUAUUUUUAUAUUUUGUAAUGCAAAUAAUACAUAAUUAUGUUAAAAGUGAAAAGUAUUGAAUGAGGCAGUUGUUGGUAUGUCUAUGGUGAGUAGGAACAUCUUUAUGAAAAUACAUUGCCUGAAGAAAUAGAGUAUUGUAUGAUAACAAGCCAGAGAGGUUGAGGACACCAGAGGAAUACAGUCCAUUGCAUCCAUUAAAAAAGGCCCAUAGGGCUCACAGAGACUGAAGCAAAAAUCAUGGAGCCUGUAUGGGUCUGAUCUAGGUCCUCUGCAUAUGUGUUAUUAUUGUGCAUUUGGGUUUAUUGUGAGAGUCCUAACAGUGGGAGCAGGGGUUGUCUCUAACUGGUUUGCCUGUUCUUGGGACAUUUUUCCUCCUAGUGGGUGGCCUCAUGCAUCCUUGAUAUGGGGACAUGUGCCUAGUCUUAUUGUAACUUGUUAUGUAUUGUUCAGUUGAUAUAUGUGGGUGGCCUGUUCAUUUCUUGAAUGAAAAUGGAGGAGGAGUGGAUCUGGGGGAUAGGGGAGGUGAACAGGGAUGGACUUGGAAAAGUGGAGGGAAGAGAAACUUCAGUUGGGAUGCAAUAUAUGAAAGAAUAUUUUUUCAAAAAUCUGAAGACAAGAAGAGUUCUUCCUGAACAAUAUAAAUGCACACAGAAUCUGCAUUUACAGAGCCUGGGCACUUAUGCUUUUUGAAGUUAUACUGUGUAUUUAGCCUUUGGUGUAUAUUUGACACUGCAUAGAAAUUCAGGAGAAAAUAUUUAUUGAGAGUUUUACUCAACAUAUUAUUCUUUCCUUUUUAUUAAGCUAUGUAAAAAUAAUACUGAAAAUCGGGAACAUUUUAUCUUAGCCCAACUUGUGUAAGAACCUAAAGUAAUCCUAGGAAACAUUAAAAUUAUAAUUUAUGAUAGGUAAAAGGGAAGUAAAGUCACAGGGAGUCUGGGGAUAAAUGUAACAUUUUUGGAUGCCAUGCUGACUUUCACAGUAUGUUCCUACAGAUGUACUUUUGGAAAUACUAAUUCAAAUCUGGCUUCCAUCUAUCAAUGCUGCAUGACUUACUGUUCCAGGAAGCUGUGAUAAAAGCUGGUGAUGUAGACAAGGCCUAGUGGACAUGCCUGUAAAAGAAUUGUAAGCAAAAGGAGUCUCAGAUCUGCUGGAAAAUCACCCUUUCAAAGCCUCAGAUGAGUCAUCCAUGGAGGAAAAUCAUAGCACCCUGUCGCGUCCACCCUUGACCAGCAAGAAUGACGCAACACCGAGGAAUCUUCUUCACACAGUUUAAUCGGGAACCUUGAUUUACAG